rnacentral:lncRNA from 1 species
GCGCCGCAACCCCAGAGUCUGGACCUAACGGUCAGGGGUCCCUUUACCUUUACCUUUACACUCUUCUUUGUUAACUUAAGAACCUGACUGAGACUUAGUGAUUUACCGGGGGGAACCUGGUUGGUGGCAGCAGAUUAGUGGUCAAUAGUCCGUGAGACAACCAGGGGCUCCAUACGAACACCACACCCCACUCCCGAAAGGCCUCCUCACCUAUGCCACUCACGUUGCAGCCGCCAACGCUGCCUCGUCUUCGGCAGCAUCAGCAUCCUCUGUCUCAGCAUGGCACAGAGCCCAUGCCGCUGGCCUGGAUGGCGGAGGCAGCCUCCACGCCAAUGCAGCUUCCUUCCUGCUCGGCCGCCUCAGCGGGAAGGAAGGGGUGAUGCCCAGAGGUGUCCGUGGCUUCUGAUUGGCUGCAGGAGCUUCCUGCAGCCAAUCAGAAGCCGUGCCGUGCCACAUCGCGGAAGUCAGUCUCUGCACAGCGAGGCCUUUGGGGAUUGACCGAGUGGGUGGCAGGGUCCACAAGGUUCACGGGCCGUAUUAACGAGCCCGGUGGGCCAUAUCCGGCCCACGGGCCUUAGUUUGAUUACCUCUGCCCUAUUGCAAUUCUUAAGAUAAGUUUCUCCUUUGGACUCCUGACAAAUGUUUUCCCAUGGUCAAAGAACUUCCUUGAGCAAUACAGUGCCUUUCACAUCCUUGUGGCCUGCUCUGCCAGUUUCGUAUCUACAUCCGAAGGCUGGCAACAACCCCACCUUAUCGGAGUCCCUUGCAGACAACCACAGUGCCUGGAGACAGACAGUCAGGUUGUGCAUUCUCAACAGUGGCCAGAGAAGGAAUGACUGCUGGGAGGAGCGCAGAGAGAGAAAAUGUCAUGACAUAUCUGCAUCAGCAAAACCGAAUGCCUUCAUCUGCCCCAGCUGCAACAAAACAUGUCUCUGCUCUACAACAGAGCUUUCCAAACUUUUCAUGUUGGUGGCACACCUUUCAGACAUGCAUCGUUUCGCGGCACAGUAAUUCAGUUUUACUAGCAAACCAGAGGUUAAACUAACCCCUUUACAGCCCCGGGAAGAGAGCUUGUGCAACACACCUACACACUGCAGCUGACACACUAAUGUGUCGCGACACACUGUUUGGAAAGCUCUGUUCUACAGCCACAAAAGGUGCUGUGACUCUCCAGCAGUUUGACUUUACCCCUGAAGGCACACUCUUCCGUUGUCUCCCGAGACAGACAGAUGCCAACAACAAACCACCAUAUUUUUAAACUACUCCAUCAGAAUGAUUUGCAUUGCUGUUUCACGCUGGACAGAAUUAGGCAGCCGUAACCCUUUUAAGGAAAAAAAUUAAAAGAGUAAGUUGUGUAAUUCCUAAUCGUUUCACCACACCUGGGAGAUCUGUUACAGCUAAAUGGCGGGCAAUGUCCCUGUAUAGCCUGUAUUUCUGACAUGUCAACAUCCAAUUCUAGAGCCUUGAAAAGGCUACGGCAAUAAGAGCAGGAGUAGGGAACAUUCAAUAAGUGAAUUCCCUUUUAGGCAAUGUGUGAGCAGUGAUUCCAGUGUGGUUUUAACACUCAAUCCCUCUCCCCAGGGAACGCCAGACUGUUGCUCUGUAAGGGGCAUAGGAAUCAGAAACAAGGAUUCUUUGGCAGAAGUCAUGAUUGUUUAAAGUGGUGGUUGUUGUUGUUGUUUAGUCGUUUAGUCGUGUCCGACUCUUCGUGACCCCAUGGACCAGAGCAUGCCAGGCACUUCUGUCUUCCGCUGCCUCCCACAGUUUGGUCAAACUCAUGCUGGUACCUUCAAGAACACUGUCCAACCAUCUCGUCCUCUGUCGUCCCCUUCUCCUUGUGCCCUCCAUCUUUCCCAACAUCAGGGUCUUUUCCAGGGAGUCUUCUCUUCUCAUGAGGUGGCCAAAGUAUUGGAGCCUCAGCUUCACGAUCUGUCCUUCCAGUGAGCACUCAGGGCUGAUUUUCUUCAGAAUGGAUAGGUUUGAUCUUCUUGUAGUCCAUAGGACUCUCAAGAGUCUCCUCCAGCACCAUAAUUCAAAAGCAUCAAUUCUUCGGCGAUCAGCCUUCUUUAUGGUCCAGCUCUCACUUCCAUACAUCACUACUGGGAAAACCAUAGCUUCAACUAUACGGACCUUCGUUGGCAAGGUGAUGUCUCUGUAUGAUACUGCUUUAAAUGGGAACAUUGUUUUACCUGGAGCUCUCUGUUGAUCCAGACAGCAGAACUGGAACCAAAGGGUGGAAAUGGCCAGGAAGCCGAUUCGGGCAAACAUUAGCAGAAACUUCCUAAUACUGAAAGCUGCUUAACAAUGGAAGAGAUUACCUUGGUCCUUCGCUGGAGGUGUUAAACAUCUGUUGAGUUGCGGCAGUUGCAUCCCGUGUGGCAGAUCCUGUAGGGAGUUGGACUUGAUCUCCGGAGUCCUUUCCAAUCUUGCAUUUCUACGACAUUCCAAGGCAAGAUUUGAGCACAAGGAGAUCAAAGUGUUCUGGGAUGAAUGAUUUGUUUAUCCCACUGCCUUUGUUUUGCACUCCUUGGGAGUUCUUCUGGCGACAUUUGCAACGAGCAACUUUGUCUAAACCUGGGUGAUCUGACAGCCUCUGAAACGACAAUGUGCAGUUUCAUGAAUAUUCAAGAGAUGUCACCGGUUUCAUCUAGUGAUGCAGAACACCUGCCAUCUGAUUUCUUUAAAAUGACAAUAAAUUGCUCUUAAAAGAAAUGAAGUUUCUUGAUCCAGGAUUGAAUUAGCCUAUAUUUAUUCUAAGGUGGCUAAACAAACUGCAUUCGCAUUAUCAGUGACCUUGAAUAAUUUGGGGCAGCCAUUACAGUUGUCGUACAAUACAGUCAGAUGAAUCGCUCCACUUAACUACCACGGGGUCCUUUUAGAGCACACAG